AGCCAUGCGAGUCGAGAGGUGUAAGACCUCGGCAUACUGCUCAGUAACACGUGGACAACCUACCCUAAGGAGGGGGAUAACCCCGGGAAACUGGGGAUAAUACCCCAUAGACUAUGGAAGCUGGAAUGCUCUGUAGUUCAAAGGUUCACCGCCUUAGGAUGGGUCUGCGGCCGAUUAGGUUGUUGUUGGGGUAACGGCCCAACAAGCCUGUAAUCGGUACGGGUUGUGGGAGCAAGAGCCCGGAGGUGGAUUCUGAGACACGAAUCCAGGCCCUACGGGGCGCAGCAGGCGCGAAAACUUUACAAUGCGGGAAACCGUGAUAGGGGAACUCUGAGUGCCCGUUAAAUCGGGCUGUCCAUCAGUUUAAACAACUGGUGAAGAAAGGGCCGGGCAAGACCGGUGCCAGCCGCCGCGGUAAUACCGGCGGCUCGAGUGGUGGCCACUAUUACUGGGCUUAAAGCGUUCGUAGCUGGUUUGUUAAGUCUCUGGGGAAAUCUUCCGGCUUAACCGGAAGGCGUCUCAGGGAUACUGGCAGACUAGGGACCGGGAGAGGUGAGGGGUACUCCAGGGGUAGGAGUGAAAUCCUGUAAUCCUUGGGGGACCACCUGUGGCGAAGGCGCCCCACCAGAACGGCUCCGACAGUGAGGGACGAAAGCUGGGGGAGCAAACCGGAUUAGAUACCCGGGUAGUCCCAGCUGUAAACGAUGCAAACUCGGUGAUGCAUUGGCUUAUGGCCAAUGCAGUGCCGCAGGGAAGCCGUUAAGUUUGCCGCCUGGGAAGUACGGACGCAAGUCUGAAACUUAAAGGAAUUGGCGGGGGAGCACCACAAGGGGUGAAGCCUGCGGUUCAAUUGGACUCAACGCCGGGAAG
rnacentral:rRNA from 1 species